rnacentral:SRP_RNA from 1 species
GCCUGGAGGGGGGUGUACUCCUGUAAUCCCAACUACUCGGAGGCUGGGUACAGAGGAUGUUUUAGAGGCGGGGGUUCUGGGAUUGGAUUUUCCACGUUUGCUAAGGGUAAACCUUUGACUUGGAUGCCUUGGGGGAGGGCGAGGUAGCCAGGAUGAGUCCGAAAAAGGGGAAAAAUCGGCCCAACAGACUUGUACCUAG